UACGUAGGGUGCGAGCGUUAAUCGGAAUUACUGGGCGUAAAGUGUGCGCAGGCGGCUUCGCAAGUCGAGUGUGAAAUCCCCGAGCUUAACUUGGGAAUUGCGCUCGAAACUACGGAGCUGGAGUGUGGCAGAGGAAGGUGGAAUUCCACGUGUAGCGGUGAAAUGCGUAGAGAUGUGGAGGAAUACCGAUGGCGAAGGCAGCCCCCUGGGAUAACACUGACGCUCAUGCACGAAAGCGUGGGGAGCAAACAGG
rnacentral:rRNA from 1 species